rnacentral:rRNA from 1 species
CCGUAAACGUUGGGAACUAGAUGUGGGGACCAUUCCACGGUCUCCGUGUCGCAGCUAACGCAUUAAGUUCCCCGCCUGGGGAGUACGGCCGCAAGGCUAAAACUCAAAGGAAUUGACGGGGGCCCGCACAAGCGGCGGAGCAUGCGGAUUAAUUCGAUGCAACGCGAAGAACCUUACCAAGGCUUGACAUAUACGAGAACGGGCUAGAAAUAGUCAACUCUUUGGACACUCGUAAACAGGUGGUGCAUGGUUGUCGUCAGCUCGUGUCGUGAGAUGUUGGGUUAAGUCCCGCAACGAGCGCAACCCUCGUUCUAUGUUGCCAGCACGUAAUGGUGGGAACUCAUAGGAGACUGCCGGGGUCAACUCGGAGGAAGGUGGGGAUGACGUCAAAUCAUCAUGCCCCUUAUGUCUUGGGCUUCACGCAUGCUACAAUGGCCGGUACAAAGGGCUGCAAUACCGUAAGGUGGAGCGAAUCCCAAAAAGCCGGUCUCAGUUCGGAUUGAGGUCUGCAACUCGACCUCAUGAAGUCGGAGUCGCUAGUAAUCGCAGAUCAGCAACGCUGCGGUGAAUACGUUCCCGGGCCUUGUACACACCGCCC